AGUAAUACAUCGGAACGUGUCCCGUAGUGGGGGAUAGCCCGGCGAAAGCCGGAUUAAUACCGCAUAUGCUCUACGAGGAAAGUGGGGGACCCGCAAGGGCCUCACGCUAUGGGAGCGGCCGAUGUCCGAUUAGCUUGUUGGCGGGGUAAUGGCCCACCAAGGCGACGAUCGGUAGCAGGUCUGAGAGGAUGAUCAGCCACACUGGGACUGAGACACGGCCCAG
rnacentral:rRNA from 1 species